AACGAACGCUGGCGGCAGGCCUAACACAUGCAAGUCGAACGCUGUAGCAAUACAGAGUGGCAGACGGGUGAGUAACGCGUGGGAACCUUCCCAAUGGUACGGAAUAGCUCAGGGAAACUUGAGGUAAUACCGUAUAAGCCCCGAGAGGGAAAGAUUUAUCGCCAUUGGAUGGGCCCGCGUGGGAUUAGCUAGUUGGUGAGGUAAUGGCUCACCAAGGCGACGAUCCGUAGCUGGUUUGAGAGAAUGACCAGCCACACUGGGACUGAGACACGGCCCAGACUCCUACGGGAGGCAGCAGUGGGGAAUCUUGGACAAUGGGCGAAAGCCUGAUCCAGCCAUGCCGCGUGAGUGAUGAAGGCCUUAGGGUUGUAAAGCUCUUUUGGCGGGGACGAUAAUGACGGUACCCGCAGAAUAAGUCCCGGCUAACUUCGUGCCAGCCGCCGCCGUAAUAC
rnacentral:rRNA from 1 species